CGAUCCUAGCUUGCUAGGAGGCGUCGAGCGGCGGACGGGUGAGUAACGCGUGAGAAUCUACCCAUGAGUGGGGGACAACCCGGGGAAACUCGGGCUAAUACCGCAUACGCCCUACGGGGUAAAGCAGGGGACCUUCGGGCCUUGCGCUGAUGGAUGAGCUCGCGUCGGAUUAGCUUGUUGGUGAGGUAAAGGCUCACCAAGGCGACGAUCCGUAGCUGGUCUGAGAGGAUGAUCAGCCACACCGGGACUGAGACACGGCCCGGACUCCUACGGGAGGCAGCAGUGGGGAAUCUUGGACAAUGGGGGCAACCCUGAUCCAGCCAUGCCGCGUGUGUGAAGAAGGCCUUCGGGUUGUAAAGCACUUUCAGCAGGGAGGAAGGCUUACCCCUAAUACGGGUGAGUACUUGACGUUACCUGCAGAAGAAGCACCGGCUAAUUUCGUGCCAGCAGCCGCGGUAAUACGAAAGGUGCAAGCGUUAAUCGGAAUUACUGGGCGUAAAGCGCGCGUAGGCGGUGUGUUAAGUCGGAUGUGAAAGCCCAGGGCUCAACCUUGGAAUUGCAUCCGAUACUGGCACGCUAGAGUGCAGU
rnacentral:rRNA from 1 species